rfam:Ovis aries breed Texel chromosome 5, whole genome shotgun sequence.
AAACAGGUUCUAUAAAGAACCACAAAAUAAAUAUUUUAGAUUUGCG